GCGCGGGGGAUGACGUCACAUCGGCGACGGGGCUUCGGUUGAAAACUGGCCAUCCCUGCUGACUUGAAGACCGCGUAGCUGGGACGGCGCUACGAUGACCAUUUGCCAGUUUUUCCUUCAAGGCCGGUGCCGCUUCGGAGACCGCUGCUGGAACGAGCACCCUGGCACCCGGGGCGCGGGCCUGGCCCGGCAGCCGCCACCACAGCAGCCGCAGCCGCCCUCAGGAAGCAACAGGCGCGGGUGGAAUGCCACCAGCCAGAGGUACUCCAACCUCAUCCAGCCAUCCAGCUUCUCCAAGUCUACGCCAUGGGGUGGCAGCAGAGAUCAAGACAAACCACUAUUCGGCUCCUUUGACUCUGGCGCUUCCACCAGCCAAGGCUUUGGAUCAUCUCAAAACCCUUUUGCGUCACCUGUCUCUGAUGAGCAGAAAGAUGAAAAGAAACUUCUGGAAGGAAUUGUUAAAGAUGUAGAGAUUUGGGAAUCAUCAGGGCAGUGGAUGUUUUCUGUUUACUCACCAGUGAAAAAGAAACCUAACAUCUCAGGUUUCACAGACAUUUCACCAGAAGAGUUGAGGCUUGAAUACCAUAACUUCUUAACCAGCAAUAACUUACAGAGCUAUCUAAAUUCUGUUCAACAGCUAGUAAGUCAAUGGAGGAAUCGGAUAAAUGAACUGAAAAAUCUCAAUAUGUCAACCAAAGGAACUCUGCUCUCUGAUGUAAAGGAUGGAGCCAGUCAAGCAGCGCCUGCAUUUGGAUUUGGAAGCAAGCAAGCAGGGACGUUUGGGUCAUCAGGUUUCCCAGUGGAUAACAGCAGCAGCAAUAGUGUUCAGAACUUUAGUUUUAAAACAAGCUCUGGAUUUGCCACUGCCCCUUCUGGAAGCACACCCGUGUUUGGAAAUCACCCAGCCUUUGGGACCGGGCCCUCUGCUGGUUCUGCCGUCACUUCCUCCGCUCCAGCCUUUGGAUUUGGGAAACCUGAAUCCACAUCUGCUGCUUCAUUUUCGUUCAAGAGCCCUGACGCUUCUGGUUUUGGAUCACCUGGGUUUUCAGGGUUUCCAUCUUCCGUGGCAGUGAGUCCUUUCGGCCCUGCAAUGGCCCCUGCCUUCGGAAGUGGCGGAUCUAUGGCUGGUUUUGGUAGUUCUGGCUCACAGUCUCACACUGUAUUUGCCAAACCUUUUAAUGACACGUUUGGAGGUAGCAGCCUAUCAGCCUCCCUCCCAGUCUCUGCCACAAAUAAUGUACUGUUCACCCCCAGGGAUCAGCUGACAAAAGAGGAGCUGGAACAGUUUCAGUCCCAGAGAUUUACUCUGGGGAAAAUCCCACUGAAGCCACCACCCGUGGAGCUUCUGACUAUAUAAAGGGCGGUGUCCAGUACAGAACGACUUUAGCCAGGCAUGUGGAGUGUGCCAGUAGUUUGGGAGGCUGAGAGAAGGAAUGCCACAAAUUCAGGGCCAGCUUGGACUGCACAGAGUAAUAGAUCAGCCAGGUCUGUGUGAGACCCUCAAAGAAAAGAUCUGAAUGGUUUUUCAAGAAAUGUUUUCGUAGUGCUUGGGAUCACUGGACCCUCACACAUGCAGGCAAGUUCUACCUAAGCCACACUCGAUCCCGAAAUAUGGCUUUUAAGAUUGUCUUGAAUGAUAUAAUAAUACAACCCCCCCGACCUGCCUUUCCCAAGCAUGUGUUGAAGUAAGUUCUUCGAGGCUCCAUAAUGGAGGAAUUUGUGAGAAUUAUUUAAAAUGGUGAUUCAGGCUUUGUAAAAUUGAAACUUACAGAAUUAUACUUUUCUGAGUCAGCAAAACAUGCCACAUAUUCAAGAGUAAACUCUGUUCCUCAUAUAUAUAUGAGCAAUGUAAGGUUUUAAUAAUUUGAGGGAUUUAAAGGUUAACAUUUUUUGAAAACCUAGCUAAAUAAAGUACAGCCCAAAAACUUAAUAAGCAAGGGAAAUCUUUUAUACUGUAAUUAUGAAUGGAACUAAAAAAUACAGGGUACUGAAUAAUUUUCUCAUUCUAUUCCAAUUUAUUACCCAUCCCUCUAAUAGGGAUGUGGAGAGUAGAUGCUGGAGAUCAAACCCAGGUGCUGUAACCAUGAUCUGAGUUUUCUAAAUGCAAAUACCAAGAUCUGGAGAUGUUAAAUGCCAUCUAACAAGAGGCUGAACUGGAGCUGACACCUGGCCUUGAACUUUCGCUGUCACCACCCCGUGGUGGCUCCUGAGUUAUGAAUGCUUCCUCUUUUUGUCAGUGUUUCCUGCACAUGCAUUGCCUUUGGGACACGCUUCUGCAGUUUUCCCUUAGGAGUGUUCACGUCAGCAGGACACUGUGAUUAGUGAAGCCCAGUGGCCUGAGAUGCAAGGUGAAGGAAGUGCUCUCAGGAGGUACAGAACUCUUCACUCCCCUCUCAAAGCUCCGUCCUCUUUUCUUGCUCUCAGAUGAGGGCCGAGUCCUCCUGCCUGUCCACACAAAGACACUGAAAGAGAGCACGAGAGUGCCAAAGACUCCGUGGAGUCACGGGGGGCAGGGACCUCACACAGCCAGCUGGAGCGUGUGUUUGUUGUGAUGCUGGGUGGGGGCCAGUGCUGGACCACUUAACUGCUCCACAUCUCAGCAGUGCACCUAAGCAAAGGGACAGUGUGCCUGUGAAGACUGGGUUUGAGGUGAGUCAUCUUUAUUUUGUCCUUACACCAGCCGGGUGAGAUGGAGUGAGCUAUCUUCUAAGUCUUAUCCAUAGAGGCAAUAACAUCCGUGCCCAUGGUUAUGGGAAGGUUAAAUUUGAAACAUAUUAAUAUAAGGUGUCCAGCACAAAAAUUUAUGCUCCAAAUUCCAUUAGUGAAGAAAAUAACACUGGGUCCUUAUAGAGAAGCUGACAGGCAGAAACUCACAGGAAAGUGAAGUCCCCUACCCUCCUGGCUAACGUCUUCAACGUUUCAUUUUGUUUUGAGAUAAAAAUCUCACUGUGUCUCAUGCUGGCUUUGAACCUGCAAUCCUUGAACCUCCCAAGAGUUGAGGCUGAAGCAGGUGCCACAGUGCCCGGGCAGCCUGACCGGUCUGCUGCACUGUGUUAGUUACUGUUCUGUUGCUGUGAAGAGACACCAUGGCCACAGCAACUCAAUAAGAAAGCAUUUAAUUGGGGCUGGCUUGCAGUUUCAGAGGAUUAGUCCAUUAUCAGUAUGGCGGAGAGCGUGGCGACAGGCAGGGGUGCUGCUAGAGAAGUAGCUGAGAGCUGCAUACAUCCUGACCCGUAGGCAGGGGGGGUGGGGGGAAGAGUCUGAGCUUGAGGUUGGCAUGGGCUUUUGAAACCUCAGAGUUCAUCUACAGUGAAACACUUCCUCCAACAAGGCCACACCUCCUAAUCCUUCUAACAGGUCCACUAACUGGGACCCAAGCAUUAAAACAUCAUGAGCCUGCUGAGGGCCGUCUCAUUCAAACAACCGUACACACAUCACUCCAAUGUUACUUCUUAUACACAGGCUAAUAACUAUAAUAGUGAGCAAUGGUGUCAUACUCUUUUGUAUCUUCUUAUUUGCAAACAUCUUGAAGAACAUUUCAUGUUAGUAACAUACAGAUAUAUAUGGCUAUGGCCCAUUGCUGACUGAUUUAGCCAUACCCCUAGUUAUGGGUCGACAAUACUAAAGUAGCAGAUUCUAGAACAUAGGUCCUUACACCAUUGUGAGAAUAACAAAAAAAUGCUGAGUAGGAAAUUGUGAAUGACCCGUUUUAGUACAUCUUAGUAAAUGCCCCUGCUUCCCCACAAUAUAGGCCUUGAAAAAGCAAAGCUGCUUUUACUAGAGCAGAGCAGGUGCCGAUGGCUUUACUGUAAUUAAUAUUCAGCGAAAAGAACCAUAAGGGUGGAGGGCUUGUUACGGGCUCAGCAGGAAUGUCCCCUACAGGCUCCUGUCUUGGAAUUCUAGGUCCCAGAUGGUGGUGGUGUUGUAGGAGGUUGUGGGAACUUGAGGCAGUAGGGCUAGCUGGAGGAAGUAGUCAGUAGAGGAGGGCCUGAGCUUGUUGACUGCCAUGGUGUGGAUGGCUCUGUUCUAUGGUGCGCUUUCUGCCAUGAGCUGAAACCAGGAGCCAAACAGUCCCCUUAAAUUGUUUCUCUCGGGUGUCCAGUCAGCUGUGGUGGAAGCAGCUAGUGUAAGGCUUGAUUCGCCACGUCUCUUUUAAGGUAUAGGGUGUGAUCCGCCGUGUUUAUUUUUCAUUAAUUGUUUAUUUUUUGACUCAAAGCCUCACUGUAGCUCUCGCUGCCCUGGAACUCAUUAUGUAGAGGCUGGCCUCAGACUCAGAGAUCUGUUUGCCUCUGUCUCCCAAGUGUGCUGGAUUCAAAGGAGUGUGCCGCCAAGCCUCCCACCAUGUUUCUUUUUAAACUCUUUCAAGGAGUCCCCAGUAUGAUGGUUAAUGUUACUGAAAGACACCUAGAAGCCUGACGGUGGCGCACGCCUUUAAUCCCUGUACUUGGGAGGCAGAGGCAGGCAGGUCUCUGUGAGUUCGAUGCCAGCCUGGUCUACAGAGUGAGUUCUAGGACAGCCAGAGAAACCGUGUCUCAAAAAAACAAGAAAGAAAGGGAGGAGGGGAGAGAGAGAGGGGGGGAGCGAGAGAGAAAGAGAGAGAGAGAGAGAGAGAGAGAGAGAGAGAGAGAGAGAGAGAGAGAGAGGAGAGAGAGAAGAGAGGAGAGAGAGAGCCCCCUCUGGGUGUGCUUAAGGGCAUUUUCAGAGAAUAAACUAAGGUGGGGGGGGGUGGGGGGAGUGUGAGGAGAAAGGGAAAAAGGGUGCUUGUGUUCUAUGUCUCUGUCUCUCUUUCUCUUCCCCUCUGUCCCCCUUCUCUCCCUCCCUCCUGUCCUCCCUGCUAGCUGCCAAGGUGUGAGCUGCCAUACCACUCCCUCCCCACCAUGAGAGCUUGAAAACUCUGAAGCUGUGAGCCUGCCUGCCUUUCCUUAAGCUGCUGAAGCUGACACCUCACCAAGGCCCCGGAUGAGGACCACUGUAGCCAGCCAGCCCUUCACGGAUGCUGCCCUGGGCGCAUCAGAGCUAGAGAAGCGCGCUGUCGGAAGCGCUGCGGACAGCAUUGCCAGCGCCCUGAGGUUGCCUCUCUGCCCUGCGACCAGUUUUGUAGUGUUUGAUACUACAAGCCCAGCACCGGCCCAGAGAUGGAUUUCACAAGACAGGCCAGGGAAGGGAAACUUCAUAGGGAGAAAUACCACCUCAGGCGGCUCAGUGGUAGGGAAAGCAGCGGCAGGGCUUGACUUCCAGAACUCCAGCUUUCUAAGUGGCCACAGAGCUUCUGACUCUCCAAAGCUGAGACCCAAAUAAGCUGCCACAGGGAGAGGAAAACUCAGGACGGGGAGAAGGGCCACCGGAGGGAUUCUGCUAUCUCUGGCCUCACGUACCUCUUUGUCCAGGGUAGAGACCACAACCGUCAAUACCUGCUCUUUAUCCCCUCUGAGACUUUAACUUCGACUCCGCUUCCUCCACACCUAGCCCACCUGCAACCCUCUUGACACAAAGUUCCACCCACAGUCUUGACACCCACCUCCUGUUCCAAACACAGUGCUCACCCGGCCCUACCGCCUCCUCUUUGAGAAACAUCCCCAUAUCCAAACUUGCAUGCUGCUAAUACCGGUCAGCAGUAGUCCCUCUUUCCAAGCCUUCCACAAAGUGUUCACUCAGGCUGCAGAAUCUCCUUCCAGGAAGAGACCGGUGCAGACCUCAUUGUCCAGAGCGUACCCUCAUUCUGCUUCUUUCAGGGCUACACUUCUCUUAAACACAGUGAAACCACCACCAGAGAAAGUAUAGCUCCAUCCCCAGCGUGUCCACAGGAGCCCUGCAGCCAACAAUCCCUUCUGCAGCCUGGGCAGCUGCUGACCACUUCUGACAUAGAGAUGGGGCUGCUUUUCCCAGAACUCCAGUGUCAGGACACAACGAUCAUGGUUUUCACGCCUCCACAUGGAGUCACUGGUGUUUUUAAUUUUUUAUUAUGUAUGUUUUACCUACCUGUAUUUAUGUGUCUCACAUAUGUACAUACAUUUGUAUUUUGCACCACAUAUGUAUGUGUGACGUGUGCUUGGUGCCCAUGGAGGUCAGAAGAGGGCAUCAGGGACCCCUGGAACUGGAGUUUCAGAUGGUUGUGAGCCACCACAUGAAUACUGGGAAUUGAUCCUAGCCCCCGUGCAAGGCCAACAAGUGUUCUUAAUUGCCGCCCCAUCACUCAAACUCCAUUUUUAAAAUCCUUUAUUUUUUGUGUGGGGGUGUUUUGCCUGUGUGUAUGGCCGUGCAGUAUGUGCAUACAGUGCCGUUGGAGACUAGAAGGCAUCAGAUCCAGGGGACUGGAGGUGCAGAUAGUUAUGAGCUACCAUGUGAUUAUUGGGGGUUGGACAUGGGUCCUCAGGAAGAGCUGAUCCAUAGCUCCAGCCCCUGGAGUAGCUGUUUUAAAGGUCACCGAUGUUCCUCUGUUAACGGCUUGCUAUUUUUUCCUUUGGUUGUACAUUUUAUGGAUUGACUACACUUUUAUUUAGCUACUCAUUUUUGGAUAGACAAUGGAUUGUUUCCAAGUUUACGCAUGUUUUUUUAUUUUUUUUAUCUUAUGUGUAUGAGUGUUCUUUCUGCAUGUAUGGAUAUGCACCUUGUGCAUGCCUCAUGGCCUCAGAAGUCAGAAGAGGGGAUCAUGUCCCUUGGUACUAGAGUUGUGGAUGGUUGUGAGCCACCAUGUGAGUGCUGGGGACCCAUCCUCUGCAAGAGAAACCAGUGCUGUCAGCCUCUAAGCCGUCUCCCCAGCCCCGGGUUUCAGCAUUUUCUAAUACACACAUACAGACAUCAGUGUGAGAAGGAACCCCCUCUUCACGGCAGCUCCUGUGUUCUCCCCGGUCCCUUCAGUGCCCUCCUGGUUCUUCUCUCCUUUUGCCCUCACUAUGACCCCCUCUGACUGCUUCCCACUUAGACGUGGAUCUCAGUGUGAAAGACCCCACUUAUAGCAAGCUUUUACUUAGCCUAAGAAAUGCCAUUCUGCAAGGCAGGGAAAACAGAGAGUUCAUGACUGUGGCUGGCCACCUGGCCUUGGUAAAGAGAGCUGUGGUCAGCCACCCAGCCUUGGGAGAAAAACCGUUGAGUCAAAAUAAGACAUCUGUGGUUAGCUACCCGACCUUGGGGAGUAAACAGUUGGGCUGGGAAAACACCCACAAGGCCAAGUCAGACACACACAUCAAAUUCCCGAGAAGUUUAAGAGUUCACCCUGACCUUAAUUGAAUCCACCAAUGGGAACCCUGUAACUAUGCCUCUCGCUUCUGUAACCACGCUUCUGCACCUGGAAGCCUUUAAAAAGUCCCCCUUACCCUAGGAGGGCGCACAAGUCUUCCGAGAGACUUUGUCGCUCAGGUACCUGUAUAAUAAACCCUCUUGCUGUUUGCAUCUGA